CGUCGCUGUGAGUUCACCUUAG
rnacentral:miRNA from 1 species